rnacentral:rRNA from 1 species
UACGUAGGGAGCGAGCGUUGUCCGGAUUCAUUGGGCGGAAAGAGCUCGUAGGCGGCUUGAUUAGUCGGAUGUGAAACCUCCAGGCUCAACCUGGAGACGCCAUCCGAUACUGUCAUGGCUAGAGUCCGGUAGGGGCCCACGGAAUUCCUGGUGUAGCGGUGAAAUGCGCAGAUAUCAGGAGGAACACCGGUGGCGAAGGCGGGUCUCUGGGCAAUAACUGACGCUGAGGAGCGAAAGCGUGGGGAGCGAACAGG